CAGUAGCGUAUAUUAAAGUUGUUGCAGUUAAAAAGCUCGUAGUUGGAUUUCUGACUUCAAACACCUGACCCUCCCUCGCUAGAGGUGUGUGUGCCGGAGUGUUUGUAUCAUCCUUUCAGUGAUCGGUUCUACCCUUAACCGGGUCGGAACUGUUAACUGGAUCUUUUACUUUGAAGAAAUUGGAGUGUUUAAAGCAGGCUUACGCCAGAACAUAUUAGCAUGGAAUAAUAAUUUAGGACUUUUGUUCUAUUUUGUUGGUUUCUAGGACGAAAGUAAUGAUUAAUAGGGACAGUUGGGGGCAUUAGUAUUUAAUUGUCAGAGGUGAAAUUCUUGGAUUUAUGAAAGACUAACUACUGCGAAAGCAUUUGCCAAGGAUGUUUUCAUUAAUUCAAGAACGAAAGUUAAGGGGAGUCGAAGACGAUUAGAUACCAU
rnacentral:rRNA from 1 species